GAUGAACGCUAGCUACAGGCUUAACACAUGCAAGUCGCGGGGCAGCAUGGGGGUUGCUUGCAAUCCCCGAUGGCGACCGGCGCACGGGUGAGUAACGCGUAUUCAACCUGCCCUUCACCACGGGAUAACCCGGCGAAAGUCGGACUAAUACCGUAUGUUGUCCAUUGACGGCAUCCGAUUUGGACGAAAGGCUUGGCGGUGAGGGAUGGGGAUGCGUCCGAUUAGCCAGACGGCGGGGUAACGGCCCACCGUGGCUACGAUCGGUAGGGGUUCUGAGAGGAAGGCCCCCCACACUGGAACUGAGACACGGUCCAGACUCCUACGGGAGGCAGCAGUGAGGAAUAUUGGUCAAUGGGCGUAAGCCUGAACCAGCCAAGUAGCGUGCAGGAUGACGGCCCUAUGGGUUGUAAACUGCUUUUAUGCGGGGAUAAAGUGGCCCACGUGUGGGCUUUUGCAGGUACCGCAUGAAUAAGGACCGGCUAAUUCCGUG
rnacentral:rRNA from 1 species